UGGGAGAGCACCUCCCUUACAAGGAGGGGGUCGGCGGUUCGAUCCCGUCAUCACCCACCA
rnacentral:tRNA from 2 species